UUUGAUGUGGCACAUUGUAUUGAAAUUACCGAUUUGGUUCUUUUUCAAUAACCAUCAAUCUUGUGGUAAAUGUUGAUUGGAAUUAAUUUGGCCCCUGGUGCUUCUGAAUUUCAUCUGCCACCUUCCUUGUGUGGUUAACUGCACAGUUGUAUUCUCAUUUCAAUGAAACAGUGUUGAAAUAUUGAUAUGUCAUUAUAAUUGAAUCAGUAAUUGAUGAAUUUUCCAUACAUGUGCCAUCCCUAGUAUAGUGUAGUUCUUGGUUUGAGAUUACUGUUUUGUCUACUGAAAAUCCAUCCAUCCAUUCACUAAAUCUGUCUCAAAUACAGGCACGAGACAUUCUAUUGAACAAAUGGGUACUGCUGAUGCAGCAGAAAUCCUUUACAUCAGCACUAAUAUUUUGCUGUCCGUGAUGAAAUGUUCCCAAAUGUACACUUUGAGUUCCUACACUGUAAAACUUUUUGAACUGCAGCAAUCACUGAACUGGACACCAAACAGUUUUUUUAGGGCUGAUUUUUAGUUUCAUACACUAACCAAGUGUUUGUCCCAAUGGAUGGAUUAGAUUGCUGAAGUUGUUCUUUUUUAAAAGAAUGGGAACUUGAUCAAUGAUCUGCAUAACUUCUUGAGCUUCAUCUUGUUUGUCACGGUGAAGGUCGUAGUUAUUCGAGGGUACCUGAUCAAGGAGCUUCAAUUGAAUAUUCUAAGAUUGUGUUUGCAGAGGGAUCUAAAUAAAAGAUUCCAAGUAAUACGCAUAUUUUUUUUUCACACAUGUUUGCAACACAAUGUAACUUUCAGGUUAUUUAGUUCGAGCUGAUCUGCAUGACAAUUAUGUUUAUAGUUCCUUUGGUUUAUUGGUGUCCAAACUGACAGUAAUCUCUCAAUCGAUAAUAGAAAUUGUGGUUCAUCUCAUUGCUGUUUAUAGGACUUUGCUGUGUAAAAUAGGCUGCUACGCUAUUUCUUAAAAUGUUAUUUUUCAAAAUAAAUUUACUUUAGUGAAACAUUGUGCAAUAUCUUGGAGGCAUAAAUAACUCUAAAGCUAAAUAUUUACAUGCAGGGAAAAUGUAAAGCUGACUGUUAUCACCUGUAGCUAUGAAAUCAUGAAGGGUCCUCGCCUACCUGUUCAAUUAGUACCACCUUUCUGUGUUGUCUGACGGUGCAGCCACCUUCCACAAACAACUUCAAGUGUCUCCGGUUUCUGUGACCAAAGGAAGCCAAUCACACAGUACUGAUGCACUAAACACUGAAUGCCAAUAUCCCAAUUCAAUUGACCCUCAUGCUUGAUUUCAUUAAGGAUCAAAUUUCCAGGGACCUUCUAGUUAUGUAGAUAGUUGUAACAAAAUGGUUGAAACAAGGAGUGGUAAGAGGUCACAAGUUGUUAACUCCGGGUAUUCUUUUGGUUAAAUGCAUCUGCACUAACUCCAACACUAGAUCUUCAGUAAGAGAAGGUAAGAAAGACUACAAUAAAACUCUCGUAAUCCGACACUGUGGACUUUGGUGUUGCUGGAUUAGCAAAUCUUCUGAUCUGUUGGAUGUUGCUUCCAUUAAUACCCUAAUAUAUUUUAUUUAACCGAUUCACAUGUUAUACAUUAAUAUAAUAUUUCAAUAGAUCCAAUUAAUUAAAUGACACUGCUAGCUGGGCCCUGUGGGUUUAAAAGGAGACGUAAUUAAAUCUGGUGAAUCCCGUUUGUAAAUUUAACCUUCUAUGUUUUUGCUUGUCACGGCAAUCCGAAGCAUUAAGGCACCCCAGCUCCUAACCUCAACCCUAUUUGCAUUCUGGGCUCCACAUCAUGCUCGCUGCAUCUGUUGCGCUGGUCAAUGCCCAACCAUGGAGAUUUCCACACAAUCAUUCUGGAUUAUUAGAGUUUUACUGUAUUCCAUAAACAAUAACUAUGCCCAAAAAUGGACAAUUUACCUUUCUUCUUCGGGUGCUUCACACACUAUCUGAAAUAGCUCACCCAGAGUUAGUGAUCAUCAGGAGGAGAGACAGGAGCUUUCUGCUUGGGUCUGGAUGGAGGUAAGCAAUGGUUAUCAGCUGUAUGUUGGUUUUAACAGUAAAGUAGAAUGGAAUUAUAAUAACGAUAUGUGCUUUUACAGAUCAGAUAGCAAUUGGUGUUAAAGCGGAAUGGCUUUUGGCCUCAAGCUUGGAUAGUGGAUAAAUACUUGGGGAAAGGUGACACAUGGAAGGCUGCAGGAUAGAACUAUUUUGAGUUGGCCUGAGAAUAUCACGAUGUCCUGGCUGUGAGGCUGUGUUCUAUCUAUACGGUAUAUUGUGGUAUAAUAAUACCACUGUCAUCGGUUUAGCCAAAUUAAACUUUGACAAAAUACCUUUCUUGGUUAUUACCAAUUUUGAGGCAUUAAUGUUGUUAUAAGUUGUGUUAGUGCGAGGUGUAUAUCGGGUUGAAGUGCCAGUUACAUUAAGGAAGAGCCAAAAGAAGAGGUACGAGUGAACACCAUUAGGUCCAUUGUGGCAUUUCACUUUAGUAAUGAGACAUCAACAAGAUGAAGAUGCUGCUGAUCUGCUGGAAAUUGUCUCUAUUCUUAAACACACAUGACUUGAACAUUAAGCAGCAGUUAAUAUUAUUGACUUUUAAACUAGGGCUUCCUUGUUGAGAUUACCAUAAUCCAUUACUGUCAUCAUUAACAUCCCACAUGUUACUCCAGUUUAAACAUUCCAUGUCGCUGAUUUGUAUAUGGACUAUUAUUGUUUGGGAGAUGAGUUUUUUUGGAGGCCUGAAAUAAUAUUCAAACGUCAAGCAUUCUUAUCAAUCAACUUGAGUAGUAAUAAUAUUUAAAUGUUAGACAAGCAAAUCAAAAGCUUACUUGAAAAUAAAAUGUCAUGCAACAAUUGACCUGGGAUACUCAGGGUCUAGGGAGUGCUGUUAAAACCAAAUGAGAAAAUGAAGCUAAUGUUGGUCUUGCUUUAGUUUUUGGUUUAGUUUAUUGUCACGUAUAUUGAGAUUCAGUUAAAAGCCUUUUUGUCGCGUGCUGUCCAAUCAGCAGAAAUACUAUACAUGAUUACAAUCAAGUCAUCCACUGUACACAGAUACAGGAUGAAGGGAAUAAUGUUUAGUGCAAGCUAAAGUCUGAUUCAAGAUCGUCCAAGGAUCUUCAAUGAGGUUGAUGGUAGGUCUAGACUGGACUGCUCUCUAGUUGGUGAUAGGGCGGUUAUGUUGAGAUCUGAGUUCCUGUACCAGGAGGAACUGUGUACAAACAUUGGCCUAGAAUUUUGCUAGCUAUUUGGGCCAUGGGUUUUGAUGGUUUUGAGUUCAAUGUUCACUAUUUAAACAUUGUGUUCUAUGUAUUCUUCCAGUAUCUUGACACAACUCAAAACUUAAGAUGGAGUACUGUGCACAUGCCUUCAAAAUCAAGAUGUGUAUUGUUUUAUUUUCUAUCCUCAAAAUGUAUUACACUAUUAAAUAAUAAAGGUUGAAAUUCAGAAACUGCCAAGAAAAAAUGAGUUUACAGUGGAAAUAUUCAGAUCUAUAUUUCUCUGUACCUGAUCCCUCAGGAAUAAGUUGGACAUGUUCCCUGCAGUCAAGGUUUCCAUUGAAUUUUGCUGUACCAUCUGUGCUUUACCAAGAGUCUCCUCCAAGCCUAUUGAUUGUGCAAAGCAAUUCACAUUUAUUUGUUAUAUUGAGGUUCUGGGCAUGUGUCUUUAUCAUCUUUUUCAUGUCAAACUUCGCAAAGUGAAUGGAUAAAUCUUUUGUGAAAAUAAAAAUUCAGCCUGUACAAUUGUCAAUACAAUUAUAUACUGGCUGUAGUCUGUACCUUGACUCAUGUCCUCUGACAUUCUUGGCAAAAACAAACUUAAUUCAUUAGACCCUUUUAUCCACAAUCAUUUUAGUGAGGAGAAUUCCAGUUUUCCAUAACCCUUUUUUGUAAAAGUGCUUCCAGAUUUCACCCAUGGGUUGCCCAGUUUAAAUUCUUCUUUUUCUUUAGAUGUCCUGUCAAAUUAGGAAACCUAACUGUAUAUUAAUAUCAAAUCCCAUGCAACAUUAAUUGGAUCAUUUCUCAACCUUAGACUUUUAAAAUGUCAGCAGGUAGAUGUAUUUGUUAUGUUCCUCUGCACAAGGAUACCUUUUCUAAUGUUUGGAGCUGGAACUGAAUUAUGACAAACUGCUUCAGAUGGAGUCUGAUGCAAAAGUCAAGAAUGUACCUAUGUUGAUUGUGUAAUUUAACUAUCAUUGCAUAGUGCAAAACAUUUUCACACUUUGUUGUUUGGUCUUUUAAUUGAUACUUAAAAUUAUCAAUAACAAUGACCUAUUCAGAAGUAUUUUUGGAGAUGUAUUUUGCAGAUUUUCUUAACAAUUGAUAAUUGUGGCCAGUCGUCCUUGAGGUUUUUAUGGAUAAUAUGCACCUUUGACUCUUAGAAAAUCCCCAAGACCACCUCACUAUCUAGUGUUCAAAAGUUAUCUUGGUCAUGAGCCUGGGGAAGUGAAUAAACCUUCUGCUCAAUGUGGCUGUUUUUCCUCAAAUAUACUUCUCUCUCGUUUGACAAUAGGUGCAGGUGUCGGCCAUUCGGCCCUUCGAGCCAGCACCGCCAUUGCUAAGUGCUCCCUGUUUUCCCAGUGUUAACAAAUAUUAUAUUAAGCAUAUGAUUGUACAUCUUUGAAAACCUAGUUAGCGGUAUGUUUUUUUUAUCAUUAAUACAUUGCAAUGGUUAUUAUGAUCUUGAUUGGCCUAUUUCAAAGACUCAAAUACAAAAAUCUUCAUUGAUCUUCUAGUGCGCGCCAGAGGGACCGAGUCACAGUUGGAAUUGUCAUAGUUCAAUUGAAUCCCUUGUUUGUACUCUAGGGUGAAUGUAAAAAAUGCCAAGCGCUUAAUGUGAAGAAGACAGGGUGCCCCCUGUUUCCAGACUAUCUUUCCCUAAAGCAACUCAUUAAAAAACAAUUUGUCAGAUUAUUGCUAUCUGUGGGAGCUUGCUGUGCAUACCUAUGGUAUAACUCUUCAUUAUGUACUCGAUUAGCUGUGCAGCAUUUUGGGCAAUUCGAGGACACGAAGGAUGUUAUAUAAGUUUGUUUGUCUUACUCAUUCAAAUGGGUAUGAAUUAUCUUUGAUAAUGAAUCCCAUUUUUGUAAGAAUUGUAUUUGGAUUGCAAAGUAUCGCAAAUACAGUUCAGUUUAAUUUAUUGUCACGUGUACCGAGAUACAGUGAAAAGCUUUUGUUGCGUGCUAUCCAGUCAGCGGAAAGACAAUACAUGAUUACAAUCGAUCCAUUUACUGUGUAUAGAUACAUGAUAAGGGAAUAACGUUUAGUGCAAGGUAAAGCCAUCAAAAUCCGAUCAAGGAUAGUCUGAGGGUCAACAAAGUGGUAGAUUCAGCAGUACAGUAGGAAGUGACUGAAUAUUUGAAAUAUUAAUUGGCCUAAGUGGCAGUACUUGGGAGUUAUGUUGAAUUGAUUGUGAUAUGCUCCUUAUUUGAUGUGACACAUCUGUUCCUGCAUUGAUUCACUUAAUCAUUUCUGGGCAUUGUAUUUAAAUACAUUGACUAAUUCGUUUAGAAAUGACUAAGCAUUUGUGAUUCCUUAAAAUUCUAUUUUAAACUAUUUAAUCAGCGAUGAGGAUGUAGCAAAGUGAUAUCUGUAGAUGUCAGAUGGAGCAUCAUUUUCUGAAUUUAUUAAAGCUAAAUUAACUUGAUGUUCAGAUAGUCUUUCAACUACUCCUGAAUGUUCUCUCCAAUGUACAUAACAUUCCCAGGUAUCGUCUGUCUUUAUUAGAAGCCUUCAUUUGAUUUUGAUAUAAAUGACGCUGUCCUUGUACAUUAUGGAGUCUACAGUGUGAGAUAUCAACAUGUAAUAUCUUGCUAUUGCUGCUUUUUAUCAGAUUUCAGUAUCAAAGUAAGUUGAAAACAAAUUGUGGAAGUAACACAUCCCCUCAAAAGUUUGGUAGACAAAAAUGCUGGAGAAACUUCAGUC